GAUGAGCUAUAAAUUGAGCGCUGCAACAGGCACGUUAUCUCAUUCACCACCUGAUCAAAAAUGGAUCUGCAAAUCUCAGUUUUUCUUCUGUUCGUUCUUUUCACUGCAGGACACUCUCUCAGCUGUUAUAAUUGUGUGUCGGGCAUUUGUACAACGACUCAGUGUACGAAUGGAUCUACCAACUGCCUCAGUACAACAGUUACAACCAACAGUACUACAUGGACACUUAAAGAUUGUGCUUCAUCUGCUUGCUCAAAUGGAUCCAUCAACUUUGGCACUGGAAAAGGCUCUUCUUCGUGCUGUGACACAGAUCUCUGUAACUCCCAAGAUGCUCCAGAUUCCAGCACUAACGCUCUCAAUGGAAAGUCAUGUUACUAUUGCGACGGACAGAGCUGCUCAAAAACAGUGAACUGUUCAGGGACUGAAGACCGCUGCUUUAAUGCAACAGUGACUACUGGAGUCCAGCUACAGGUUUUGAAAGGCUGUGUCUCUAAAUCUUAUUGUAAUGCCACGACGACAUUGAUUCCUAAUAUAGGAAGUCUCUCAUGCUGUGAGGGGAACCUGUGUAACAGUGCUAAGAGUGUCACUCAGAGCUUCCUGUUCCUCUGCUGUUCUCUGCUCUCCUUCAUCCUGCUGCACUGAAUCCAGAAGCUUUUCAGAUUUUACAGCUGCAGCAAAGACACAAUAUUAUGUGCUCUACAACAUAGAUUGUAUUACCUCUGUACUGUCUUUGACUUGGUGUGAAGAAUCUAAAAAGAUGGUGAAGGUGAAAAGGGUGAAGGGGAUAAAUCUUUAACUCAAGACUACAUGAUGGGCUACUGGUGCACAAUGUUUUCACCAUGCAUCACCUUUAUUAUAGUGCAAAUUCAGUCAUUUAUGUAAUUAAAUUGUAUCAAUACAGUAUUUGCAUGAUGAUAAUAGUUGAUCUUGCAGCUUUAUUUUUAUUCUUCCACUUUCUUUCACACAAAUUAUAUUGCUCUAUUAAAGAGAAGAAAAAAAAAUUACAUCAGUUUCCCUAAGAGGAUUUUUUGCACCACAUUUAACAUAGUAAAAUACAAUAACAGUGUCCAAUAACAUGUGAAUGCCUGAACACCACACCUACAGAUGCCUGCUGAAUGUUUUUUGCAUGAGCAGUGCCUUAGAAAUAGCGUAAUGAAACUGUAUAAUUGAGUGUGCGUGCAUGUUGCUUGUUACAUCAACCGAGUCGAUACAAAAAUAUUAAAAGGGUGUAUCCACAUACUUUUAGAAACGAACUUCUCAAAAUCACCUAAAUGUUGUUUUGCUAAAACCCUUUUGACUGUCUAAAGGGUUUUAUGCUUUAAUUUUGGAUGUUUUUUUUUUAUUUUACUUUUUACAUAUCAGUUAAAUCAAAGUAAUAAGUUAAUGAAGGUGCCUACAGUACAGACAGUACGGUCUAGAAUUAACGUGAACGUUUUUGGAAGAUUUUCCAAAACAAUGUCGGUGCCAGUAGACUAUAAGUGAAUGUCUAUUUGUUCUUUGGUCUAGUGACACAUUUGUUCACAGGUGCCUGUAAGAACAAAAUGUUUGCAUGACAAAAAUAAGUUUCUGUAUUAAAAUGCUUCCACAGUAUCAAACACCCAGCAAUUCUUAGAUUACACUGUUGUUAAAGGAGAACUCUGCGUGUUCUGACUCAAGACAGUUAGGGUAUGUCGAAAAACUCCAAUCGUAUUUUCUCCCCCAACUUCAAAAAUCAUUUCAAAAUCACCCUACAUCGCUACAGAAGUACCGACACAGUUUUUGCAAAGUGAACAUGCAAAGAUAUAGGACGAUAUUGAAGUUGAGGAAGAACAUGAGAUGGGAGUUUUUCAACAGUUCUUUACAUUAUCUGUAAAUCUUUGUUCUGAAAGUGGACUUCUCCUUUAAUUUUCAUCCUUUUAAUGUUUAACAGAGUAUUUAAGCCUUUCAAUGAAAACUACUCUUUCUCUGGUUUCUCAAUAACAUUCCAUGAUAACAUUAGAUGUACCUUCAGCAUUGUUUUGUAUAACUGAAAGCUGACAGUCAAAUACAAGAUCUCUGCUGAAAACAAAGCAAGUCUGACCUGUAUGAUUUUUUUCUCAUUGUUAAAUUGACAUUUGACAUUGACAUUUCUAAUUGUUAAAAUGUUAAAAUCUUCAAUCUAAUUACAUGAUGUUUCAAUUAAUUAAUGUAAU